GGAGGAAUGGCAGAGUGGUUGAAUGCGGCGGUCUUGAAAACCGUUGAGGGCGUAAGUCCUCCAGGGGUUCAAAUCCCUUUUCCUCCGCCA
rnacentral:tRNA from 2 species